AUGAGGGGGGGAAGAUUGAGAAAAAAGGAGGUAGAGAGAGCGUUACCCAAAAGAAUCAGAUCGCCUCUUCCGGUCCACACAGCCGCUAGAAUCCAAGAGGGUCCAGUUGCCAAGCGUGACCGGAAGUCCCGCCUCCCGUAUCCAGGGAGGCUGCACGCCUGCCGUCGUCAUUCAGGGUGUGACGAAGGGUUGUCGCAGGAAGCCGGGAGGUUGGAGGGAAGAAGCGCCCCCGCCCCAACCCCGCCCCUUUCAGGGUUGAAGUUGGGGUCCGGCGUGGUGAAGAGUAAAAACAGUCUCCAGCAUUCAAUAAGGAUUUUGAGUCUUGAGUCUCUCUAUCCCUUCCUUUUCCUCCUCCUACUGAGAUGGUCCGCAGAGAUAAAUACAUUGACAUUUUUAGGGCUAAGGAUGAUAACUGCCUCCUAGAAAUCACUCAAAGGAAAAUUGCCAUCACUUCCCAAAGUUUUAGGGCUGCAGCUUUCAAAAAAACAUUUCUCAUAUUGAAUUAAACUUUUAUGUCAAGGAAGAAUAAAGUCUCUGAAUUUUAAUUCUUUGCUAAGAUG
rnacentral:lncRNA from 1 species